ACAAUGUUUAUACACGUGACAUGUAUCUAGUUUAGUUUGAACGCAUUUAUUACAAUGAUUCUCAUUUAAUAUAUAAGGGAUAACCUGGUUUUAUAUUAAAAAUCAAACAUAAUUAAAGCUUUAUUUUUCAUAAGGCUGAUGUAGACAAAGCAUUAAGGAUCAAUUGUCAAGCAGUGGAAAGUAUUUUCCUAUUCAAAAUGAAUUUUACUUGUUAGAACAUGGUUUGAGAUCCAUGCGUA
rnacentral:lncRNA from 1 species